AACGAACGCUGGCGGCAGGCUUAACACAUGCAAGUCGAACGGGUGUAGCAAUACAUCAGUGGCAGACGGGUGAGUAACACGUGGGAACCUUCCUAGGGGUACGGAACAACUCAGGGAAACUUGAGCUAAUACCGUAUACGUCCGUAAGGAGAAAGAUUCAUCGCCCCUAGACGGGCCCGCGUCGGAUUAGGUAGUUGGUGGGGUAACGGCCUACCAAGCCUACGAUCCGUAGCUGAUCUGAGAGGANGAUCAGCCACACUGGGACUGAGACACGGCCCAGACUCCUACGGGAGGCAGCAGUGGGGAAUCUUGGACAAUGGGCGCAAGCCUGACCCAGCCAUGCCGCGUGAGUGAAGAAGGCCUUAGGGUUGUAAAGCUCUUUCGGCGGGGAAGAUGAUGACGGUACCCGCAGAAGAAGCCCCGGCUAACUUCGUGCCAGCAGCCGCGGUAAC
rnacentral:rRNA from 1 species